rnacentral:rRNA from 1 species
GAUGAACGCUGGCGGCGUGCCUAAUACAUGCAAGUCGAGCGAACAGACGAGGAGCUUGCUCCUCUGACGUUAGCGGCGGACGGGUGAGUAACACGUGGAUAACCUACCUAUAAGACUGGGAUAACUUCGGGAAACCGGAGCUAAUACCGGAUAAUAUAUUGAACCGCAUGGUUCAAUAGUGAAAGACGGUUUUGCUGUCACUUAUAGAUGGAUCCGCGCCGCAUUAGCUAGUUGGUAAGGUAACGGCUUACCAAGGCAACGAUGCGUAGCCGACCUGAGAGGGUGAUCGGCCACACUGGAACUUAAACACGGUCCCGACUCCUAAGGGAGGCAGCAGUAGGGAAUCUUACGCAAUGGGCGAAAGCCUUACGGAGCAACGCCGCGGGAGUGAUGAAGGUCUUCCGAUCGUAAAACUCUGUUAAUAGGGAAGAACAAAUGUGUAAGUAACUAUGCACGUCUUGACGGUACCUAAUCAGAAAGCCACGGCUAACUACGUG